rnacentral:lncRNA from 1 species
GCUGACUCUCUUUUCGGACUCAGCCCGCGUGCACCCAGAUGAAGAAACUGAGGUCCAGAGAAGUUAAACAACCUUCCUAAGAUUACACAGCUUAGUAAGUGGCAGAACCACGGCUGGAAGCCAGGUCCUUCCUCAUGCAAGUCCUGGCUCAUUCAUUCCUUUUCCAAAGACUUGCUGAGCACCUUCUAGGUGCCAGAUGUGGUGCUGGCUCCUGGGGACAUGGGAGUAAACAGGCCAGGCGUGGCCCUGAACCAUCAAAUAGACAACCACAGAAAUAACAACGAAUGAUGCUGGAGGCUGACGAAGAUAAGGGUGGAAAGUGGGCAAUAAAUCAGGAGCUGUUGCAACAUUCCCAGCAAAGGAUAAUGGUGAAUAACAAAGACAAAACCGGGCCCUUCCACACAGUAGCUGGAACACAAAGGAAGAUCAGCCAAGCCUCAACAUAAUCUCAUAAAAAUUCUUCAAAUAUCCCAUUGUUAUGGAUUCAUACAUCAGGAAAGCAGAUGCCAAGAACCUGAACACCUUCUACUGGUAACAUAUAUUUUGGCAAGCCAGCCUGGAGACAAGACCACUAUGGGCAACUUCCUGUCUAUUCUACCUGGUGUCACUGUGGACAACUUCCUAUCUAUUCCACUCGAUUCACCGCUUGGCUACAUCCUCCACCAUUGGGAUGAAUUUGACCCUAACAAUCUAAAGAAAAGGCAUAUGAUUUUUUACUG